rnacentral:snoRNA from 1 species
GCCUUUCUGUUCCCUUUCCCACUGGAGCCUUGACACUGGUCUUGGUGGUCACGAAGGAGGAAGGGGGACACUGAAGUCCACCUCACAACCAUGUCACAUGCAAUGCUGAGCAGCUGGUGUAGUGGUUGCAAUU